GAUGAACGCUGGCGGCGUGCUUAACACAUGCCAGUCGAACGAAGCACUUUAUUUGAUUUCCUUCGGGACUGAUUAUUUUGUGACUGAGUGGCGGACGGGUGAGUAACGCGUGGGUAACCUGCCUUGUACAGGGGGAUAACAGUUGGAAACGGCUGCUAAUACCGCAUAAGCGCACAGCAUCGCAUGAUGCAGUGUGAAAAACUCCGGUGGUAUAAGAUGGACCCGCGUUGGAUUAGCUAGUUGGUGAGGUAACGGCCCACCAAGGCGACGAUCCAUAGCCGACCUGAGAGUGUGACCGGCCACAUUGGGACUGAGACACGGCCCAAACUCCUACGGGAGGCAGCAGUGGGGAAUAUUGCACAAUGGGCGAAAGCCUGAUGCAGCGACGCCGCGUGAGCGAAGAAGUAUUUCGGUAUGUAAAGCUCUAUCAGCAGGGAAGAUAAUGACGGUACCUGACUAAGAAGCACCGGCUAAAUACGUG
rnacentral:rRNA from 1 species